rnacentral:rRNA from 1 species
GUAAAGUCGUAACAAGGUUUCGUCGUUGGGACGAGAUCCUUCUCGGAAGCCUUUCACGCAACGACUCUAACCAUGCGUGUAGUCUAUAGAAAUAGGCGACGUCGUCCCUAUGCUGGAACGUUAUAAUUAUAUAAUUCACCAGCAGCCAGGCAUUUCUGGUCCACAGAUUAGGUGAUGGCGGUCCUUGGAUUGCCCCAAGGAUCAAGAUAUAAUCGGUCUUUGAUAUUUGAUAUUAAAUGAGCAACGUUCCGUAGGUGAACCUGCGGAAGGAUCAUUACCGAGUUAGGGUCCUCUGGGCCUCAUCUCCAACCCUUGUCUAUUCUACCACGUUGCUUUGGCGGGCCCGUCUUUGACCGGACCGCCGGGGAUYUCCGUCCCUGGCCAGCGCCCGCCAAUAGCCCCCAAAAUUCCAUAAACAGUGAUUGUCUAAAUCCAAAAUAAAUAAUUUUAAAACUUUCAACAACGGAUCUCUUGGUUCUGGCAUCGAUGAAGAACGCAGCGAAAUGCGAUAAGUAAUGCGAAUUGCAGAAUUCCGUGAGUCAUCGAAUCUUUGAACGCACAUUGCGCCCUUUGGUAUUCCGAAGGGCAUGCCUGUUCGAGCGUCAUUAUCAACCCUCAAGCUUGGCUUGUUAUUGGGUCCCGUUGAGUGUGAAUCUCAACGGACCUCAAAGAUAAUGGCAGAGCCUGUACGGACCUGGAUGCAGCGAGCUUCUUAGCACGCAUCAUAGCGAUCCUCCGGCUCGGUCUUAACCGUCAUUUUUUCUGGUUGACCUCGGAUCAGGUAGGGAUACCCGCUGACUUA